ACCUGCGCCAUUUUGUUGUGGUUUUGAGCGGUCGAGGUCGCUUGUUUGUUCAUGUGUUCGUGAGAGGAAAAGAAAGUACACGUACACACACAAAACACACAUUUGUAGCAUUUGUUUAACUCAAACAUCGUUGAUGUUUUAAAGAAAACCAUUUUAAAAAACUUCUUUGCCUCGCAGAUCCGUUUUUAAUAUAUAUAUAUAUCUAAAAAGAGCGAGGCCUAAGGGCGGAAGACGAUCCGGGCAGCAAGGCCUGAGUACCGAGGAUUAAGAGGAAAACAUUCAACUUCAGGCCGAACAAAAAGGCUUCUAACGUUCAGAUUCGACCGAUUAAGGCACCCUAUCAUUUUAAGGUGACAAUCAGAAAAGAUGGCAGAUGAUUUGGAUAUUGAAGCAAUGCUCGAAGCACCAUACAGGAAGGAGACUUGCCUAGUGAUAUCACAUCUCUACUACCAUGAAUACAGCUUUGAUUCCAGUCUGAACUAUCAAACAAUAAGGAUGAGAACAAAUCGAGCAAAGCCAAUGGACAAGAGGAGCGCAGUAAAAAG